AAAAAAAAAAAAGGAAAAAAAAAAAAAAAAAGAAAAAAGGGAAAAAAAGGAAA
rnacentral:ribozyme from 14 species